GACGAACGCUGGCGGCGUGCCUAAUACAUGCAAGUAGAACGCUGAAGGAGGAGCUUGCUUCUCCGGAUGAGUUGCGAACGGGUGAGUAACGCGUAGGUAACCUGCCUGGUAGCGGGGGAUAACUAUUGGAAACGAUAGCUAAUACCGCAUAACAGUAGAUGUUGCAUGACAUUUGCUUAAAAGGUGCAAUUGCAUCACUACCAGAUGGACCUGCGUUGUAUUAGCUAGUUGGUGAGGUAACGGCUCACCAAGGCGACGAUACAUAGCCGACCUGAGAGGGGGAUCGGCCACACUGGGACUGGGACACGGCCCAGACUCCUACGGGAGGCAGCAGUAGGGAAUCUUCGGCAAUGGACGGAAGUCUGACCGAGCAACGCCGCGUGAGUGAAGAAGGUUUUCGGAUCGUAAAGCUCUGUUGUAAGGGAAGAACGAGUGUGAGAGUGGAAAGUUCACACUGUGACGGUAUCUUACCAGAAAGGGACGGCUAACUACGUG
rnacentral:rRNA from 1 species